GAUUAAUAUGUAAGUUUACUUUGCUAAUCGAUGUUCCUGUAAUUCAGAUUUAUAUUUAUUUGUGAGACCCCGUCACUAUUUAUAUUCACUCAAAGAAAGGGGUUCUCCGUUACUGGGAAAAUCUUAUCUGAUUCAGGAUCAAUUUAUCGGUUACACUCCCCUAUCACCAGUGAUUCUUUGUUGUAAGCUGACAUUCUGAAAAAAGGUAUACUGUUGACUAUCAAUUUGCACGAUUAGUUACAGAUGUCGACUCGGACUACUGCAAAAGACAAUAAUUCAGUUCACUAAUUUAGAUUGAAUAGUGGUUCGGUUAAUCCCCUCUUCCCCAAACAAGGCAAGGACAUUAAAGAUAAAGGGAAACUAUAAACAAAAGAAAUUAUCAACAAAAAUAGAUUUACAGACGUCAACAAAGCCUAAAUGGUCAGACAUCUUGGUUUUCAUGAUCAUCAUUCAACAAGUCAAUACUGAACAGAAAACUUAAAGUUGAUAUUUUUCUACAUAGUGUGACUUUUGUAUUAAUUUGAAAUGGAAUGUGUUUUUUUCCUACAUAAGAAAGAGGAAAUUUCAUCAUAAUGACUAUAAACAAAAAGGCGUCAUAUCAUCAUGAUCAUAGAUGCACAAGAACUUAAUCAUGUAAAUGCAACAACGUAAUUAUCAAUUGAAAGAAGGGAGGAAUGAAAAAAUAUAUUAGUAUUUUGUUGUCCAAAUGAACUUGCUUUGUCCACUCAUUUAAAUCGCUCCAUCCAAUAAAGAUGUACGGUGAAAGAUUUUUGAAGAACAGAUUGCAAAAGAGGUUUUGUCUUAGAAUUGUAGGAAUAUUCUAGUGGAUGAAAUAAUUUAUUUACUUGACUCUUAUAUAGUGGGCUGAA